UACGUAGGGUGCGAGCGUUAAUCGGAAUUACUGGGCGUAAAGCGUGCGCAGGCGGUUUUGUAAGCCAGAUGUGAAAUCCCCGGGCUUAACCUGGGAAUGGCAUUUGGGACUGCAAGGCUUGAGUGCGGCAGAGGAGACUGGAAUUCCCGGUGUAGCAGUGAAAUGCGUAGAUAUCGGGAGGAAUACCGAUGGCGAAGGCAGGUCUCUGGGCUGACACUGAUGCUCAUGCACGAAAGCGUGGGGAGCAAACAGG
rnacentral:rRNA from 1 species